AGAAUGUUUAAAGAAAUUUAGGAGAACUGGGUUUGACCGGAAUUAAAGGGAUAUUGCUUCACUGUUUAGUAUUACAAAUUAAAUCGAAACAUUAUUGAAUUCCAGUGCAUUUUACAGAAAAGUCUGAAAUAUUGGUAUUAUUUGUUUUGUCUAGGAGUAUCGGGUGCCUUACAGAUUUUGUGCCGGGACCACAUGGAGGACGUCCAAUCAGAGCUAAGAAAACUAAAGGUAUUGCAGCAAAGUAUCAAAAUCAGGCAAAGAAUCAUAAAGCGAUUCUUCAGAAAUAUAUAUUUUUUUCCAGUACUGAAGUCAGAGAUGCAAAAUCUUCAGGAGACAGAGAUGUAGAGCAGAGAUCUUCACAGUAGGGUGGAGUAAUGCAAAAGCAGAUUAAUAAGGAGAAACUUCAGGUGCUGUUGUCUUUCUAAAAACAACCAAAAGUCAAAUUAAACGCAUUUCAUUUAGUCUAUGAGGCACAGACCUCUUGAGGGAUGGUCUCAGUCUGAAAUGUCAUUUCAGAGAAUUGACUCCAAGCUGAUCGACUGGAUUAAUUUCAUGAACUGAACUCUGAAAUGAAAUUCUGUUUCACUGAAGUCUCUUCUGACCUUGACCUACCAAUCAUUCAGGCAGCUGAGAGACAGAGAGAGAAGAAAAACACACUAAUGCGACAGCUUGAAGAGGUCAUGGCUGAUCUACAGUCAGUGAGACAAACUGAGAAAUGACCUUCCAUAGGACACAUGACCACAAUAUGUAAGUCAACUCCAUGACGGUCACUUUAUCACCUUCCAAGAGUGCCUUGUGUAGAGAGAUUGAGACACGCUAGGCUUUGUGGCAAACCAAGAUGGAAGAAGCCAUGAUAUGAGAAAGAAACAUUGCAUGAAUUACAUCUCAAAGAGGAGGAGAGGAGCGAGAAAAUGAAGCGGUGUGAGGAAAGAGAGGUGAAGGCCUUACAGAGAGGAGCUGAUAUGCUUGAUAUGCUGUAGUUUCAUGUUACCCAUUUAGGGCAGCUUCUCAAAAGCCUUAGGUUCCUAAUUAAAACUAGAUUUUAUGUGUCCUACAUAUGUGAUCUGUGUUCAUUAUCAUGUUUACCUUUGUUGUACUUGUACUGCGCUCUGUAGGCUGGAGGGCUUUGAAAGCCACACCACAUCUUACACAUCAGAAAAACAGCAGGAACCGGAUCAAAAAAUAACAUCCCUCUGGUAUAAUAAAGCUCUCAUAAAAAUCAUCACUGAGUAACCCAUCAUCCAAAACCUAUGGUGUAUAUUAUUAUGGUAAAUAUGCAACCCAUUUAGCCAGUAGGCCUGCUUUAGAAACCAAUUCCAACAGCUCUUCAUAAGAUUGUAACUUAGCAAUUUAUAUAUUACAUAAGUUACUGUGUAAAACGAUUUCCUUACUCUGUCGUCACAUUCACUGUGAGAAGGAUACUAUCCAUACACUGUGCCCUUGUUAAUGAUUAAUGCAUGAGGUUCAUUAUUUAUGCAUGCAUUAUUUAUGAAACUCUUGCUUAGUAACUAAUUACACAGUCUCUAUCUUUAAAUAAUUUCAUAGAUUAAAUUGUAGCUGCACAUAUGUCUCUUUUUCUACUUCCAUUCAUUUUUACUACACAAGUGCUAAAAUCUCCUACAUUUUUUACAUUAUAAUGAUAACCACAGACAGUGUAUACAUAUUGUCUAAAAUGUACACAUGCUUUAAAAUGAUUAUUUAUUUAGUGAUUUGUUUUCAUCAAAAAAAUAAUCAGUAAUAUUCAUCCUAUUAAUGGAUGUUUUAUUUUCACUAAACAAUCUGUACUGUACUCAUAUUGAAUCUACUGCAUUCAGAAUGUCUCAUUGUAUGUCAGGAAUCUUUCAUGCAGUUUCUAAUUGGUCCUGCAGGGUAUCUCUAAUCUCAUCCCAACAGGAAGUGUUCAGUCAGAGGGAGAUCAUCGUGACCUGGCCCGACUCAUGCUCGGAAAUGUUUUUGUUAGACAAACUGAAGAGGACCUGAAAAGUAUAGCAAACCGAGAGAUGGAGAACACAAGUCUUUUUCCACUUUAAACCUCAAGAAACACUAGUAAACUGGACAAACAUUUACUUUAACAAAACUGAACUGAUUUAUCACUUUUGCAUGUUGAGGAUAAAAAAGCUUUCUUUUGUUUUUCUUUCUUCUCCUAAAUAUAAAAAUUAUUGAAUGUCAAUAAGAUAUUGAAAAAAAUGAGUUCCACUGAAAAAAUUAUACUCAUUAAAGAAUCCUGAAAAUUAUAUUUAGAAGAAGAAACAUUUCUUGAGCAACAAAAUCUGCAUAUUUGAAUGCUUUCUGAAGGAUCAUGUGACUGAAGACUGGAGAAAUGGCUGAGCUGCCAUCACAUGAAUAAAUGACGUUUUAAAAUAUAUUAAAAUAGAAAACGGUUAUUCUAAAUUGUAAUACUUAUUUCACAGUAUUACUGUUUUAAAAGCAUGCAGCCUUGGUUAGAGGCUUCAUUCAAAAGCAUUCAAAAGUCUUACCGACCCCAAACUUCUGAACAGUAGUGUACAUUCACAAGAAAAAAUGGGCAACAAAGAGACCAAGGGGUCACACAAACACUCACACUGGCAGAUCACAAACAGACAUGCUGCUAACUGUUAUAUGGAUGCUGUUUUUUUCAGGAUGUGGCACUCAUGACUGCUCCAAAUGAUGUCAUCAAUCAGGGGUCAUCGCCACGAGCAGGAAGGUUUGACAUGAGAGAGCGAAUCAGAGCUCUAGAACAGAAGUGGCCUAGCAAGAGCAUCUGUCCCAGCAGGGGGAGCCAGAGAAACAGGGUCAGAUGAAGACUCUGAGACUUCAGAGAUCUGCAGCUCAGAGAGGGUCCAUCAGUUCUGUGGUAUCUGCUUUACACAUUCUGAAUUACCUAUCGAAUAAGAAUAUUUUAUUGCAAAAAUAGAAUAAACAUAUCAGUCAACACUGGAUGACAGUUAGACACUAAUUAUACAGUUUUAAAGUUUUAAUGAUAAAAUUUGGGCAUACUUGAAGAGAAUAAAAAUGUAUGGAUGUAAUAUUUUUCUAAUAAAAUAGCUACAUUUCUUAUAUACUCUAAAUUAUGAUCACAACUUCACUAGUAACACUGAGCUCUCAGAAUCAGUUUUCAAAGUGACGAAUCUGAUCAAUUCAGAUCAAAAUUGUAUGACACAGGGACAUAAAAAAAAGGUGGUCAACUGACUCAAAAUUCUCAUUACAAAAACCAUUUUAAACUAAAAGUCAGAUGUUCUUGAUUCCACUGAAGCUCAAGAUGCUCUUUGGAUCCCUCUCAAACUAAAUAUAUAAAUGGUCCCAGACUGUUGUGUACUGUGUAGUGUGCUAAAUGUGUUUAUUUGAUUCCUGCUGAGUGGUUUUGUGCUCCCUGAAGCUCUGACCGAGGCAGCACGAGAACGUACAGCCAGACUGGACACGUCUGAUGCUCUGGAGCUCAGUGAGAGAACGUACCUGGAGCUAGUGUGCGUGCUGCAUGAGGCCCUGGAGCUCAGUGACGUUGAGCUGUCAGGAUGUGCUAGUUUAAAGCACCUACCUCCUGAUGAGAGACAGCACAUAGUCUCUAUGAGACAAACAGACCUGGAGUUUGUGAGAACCCGCCUUGAUCUAGAGAACAGACACAAAGCCAACAGCAAGAGCUACUGCUGGAGAAAAACCAGAGAGAGAUACACACACUCAGAGAGAGCCAGGUGCUGGAGUACCAGAUGCAGACCGAGCUUGAGAGUGUGAAGGCAGAACUAGAGACUCAGAGACAAGAGAUGGAACAGCUUCGGCUGGAUCUACAGGACAGCAUCAACUAGCUGCAGAGAAACCAGCAGGAACGCAGUAUUACCAACAGAAAUAAUAGGGUAUCACACAUACAAGCUCACUUGGAAAGUGAGAAAGUCUGACUCACACUAACUUUGUGAUAGAGAGAUUUUUUUGUUUUGUUUCCUGAACAAACUUAUUCCAACCUGAAAACACAAACAAUUCUGACUUGUCAGUUUGUAAAAACAAAUAAUCUAGCUAAGAGAACAGACAGAAAGAGUUUAAGAGUGGGCCAUUACAGCUAUAUACCAAAUGAAAGCUAUAAAAAGGCACCAGCAGUGAAGAAACGGACCUCACAGAUGAGACUGAAAAGGAGAGAGAGUGAGCUAGAUAAUCAGAAGAAAGAAAUGGGGCAGAAAACGCAGAUCUGUUCAAUGGUCUCUGAUUUGUCCAAUCCUUUGCAAGCUCCUGAGAGCUCCCAACUACCCCUGCUCGCUGAGGCUCAAUGACAUGAACACAACUUAAGAGCAUGCAGCAUUAUACAGCUGUGCUUUUUAAUAUUAAACAAUGUUAUAAUA